GUGGGGAAUAUUGGACAAUGGGCGCAAGCCUGAUCCAGCCAUGCCGCGUGAGUGAUGAAGGCCCUAGGGUUGUAAAGCUCUUUCACCGGAGAAGAUAAUGACGGUAUCCGGAGAAGAAGCCCCGGCUAAAUUCGUGCCAGCAGCCGCGGUAAUACGAAGGGGGCUAGCGUUGUUCGGAAUUACUGGGCGUAAAGCGCACGUAGGCGGAUAUUUAAGUCAGGGGUGAAAUCCCGGAGCUCAACUCCGGAACUGCCUUUGAUACUGGGUAUCUCGAGUAUGGAAGAGGGUAGUGGAAUUCCGAGUGUAGAGGUGAAAUUCGUAGAUAUUCGGAGGAACACCAGUUGCGAAGGCGGCUCACUGGUCCAUUACUGACGCUGAGGUGCGAAAGCGUGGGGAGCAAACAGGAUUAGAAACCCUGGUAGUCC
rnacentral:rRNA from 1 species